rnacentral:pre_miRNA from 1 species
UAUUAGAUUGGUGCAAAAGUAAUUGCGGUUUUUGCCAUUAAAAGUAAUGGCAAAAACUGCAAUUGCUUUUGCACCAACCUAAUA